GGAUGUGAGGGUGAUCUGGCUGCAGCAUCUAUCACCCUGUUAAUUUCCAGGAUUGAUUUGGCUUAUCUGGCUGGCUAGGUGGGUGUCCUCUUGCUCCCUCAAUGCUUCAUGUGCAUCCCUCCUGAAGCUAUGCACUCGGUCGAAGAGGAUGACCAACCCCAAUACAGGAGGACCGUUCCUGGGUCAAGGGUAUAAGAGCAGCUUUCCCCCCUCUUCUAGAACCUCCAAACAAGCUCUCAGAAAAAUGACCUUCAAAUGUGAAACAUAGUUAAGAUAUACCUAGAGUAACAAACUCUGAGAGACUUUAUGACAGGCACAUCAG
rnacentral:snRNA from 1 species